CAGAACCACGUGUUGGAGUCACAGUGUGAAGUCUCUGAAAAGCUGACCCCCAGUAUUUUGAGUCUGCACAACUGGGAUACCAGCAGCUGAAUCUGAUGGUUUUGCAUUUAAAUGGAUAUAUUUGUGCAGAUCUCAUCUUACUGGAAAACUGGAAGCAGCCUUCCUUGAUGCAUGGCUAAGGUGCACUGAUUCACCCAGUCAGUGUACUUGGACCUAGCACAGAAGAUGGGCCAUGAAGAAUAACCUUCUAUUGUAAAGAAAGUGACUGAAGCCAUGCCCCAGUCCACUGCAGGUUCAAGUUGAGUCUAUAAUACAAGCCCAUGAGAAAUAAUCAGGUGAGAAUUUAUUUUGUGUCUUUCUCUAUGUGAAAGCAGGGGAGAAGAUAUUAAUGAUUUUUAAAUUAACUAUUUAUUAUGUAUGGCUAGAAAAAAUAUGUUUGUUUCCAAACCUUUGGUUAAAUCUGUGGUUUUAGUCAUGAGGCGCUAACACUGAUGCAUGUU